ensembl:miRNA Mir3544 microRNA 3544
AGAAAGGCAUCAUAUAGGAGCUGAAUGGCUGUGCAAUCAACUCCUGCAUGACGCCGUUCCC